AUACGUAGGGGGCGAGCGUUGUCCGGAAUUACUGGGCGUAAAGGGUGCGUAGGCGGCAUGUUAAGUUGGAUGUGAAAUACCCGGGCUCAACCUGGGGGGUGCAUCCAAAACUGGCAAGCUAGAGUGCAGGAGAGGAAAGCGGAAUUCCUAGUGUAGCGGUGAAAUGCGUAGAUAUUAGGAGGAACACCAGUGGCGAAGGCGGCUUUCUGGACUGCAACUGACGCUGAUGCACGAAAGCGUGGGGAGCAAACAGGAUUAGAUACCCUGGUAGUCCACGCUGUAAACGAUGAAUACUAGGUGUAGGGGGUAUCAACUCCCUCUGUGCCGCAGCUAACGCAAUAAGUAUUCCGCCUGGGGAGUACGGCCGCAAGGUUGAA
rnacentral:rRNA from 1 species